UACGAAGGGGCUAGCGUUGCUCGGAAUUACUGGGCGUAAAGCGCACGUAGGCGGCGAUUUAAGUCAGAGGUGAAAGCCCGGGCUCAACCCGGAAUAGCCUUUGAGACUGGAUUGCUAGAAUCUUGGAGAGGCGAGUGGAAUUCCGAGUGUAGAGGUGAAAUGCGUAGAUAUCUCGGAGGAACACCGGUGGCGAAGGCGGCAUCCUGGACCGGCAUUGACGCUGAGGCG
rnacentral:rRNA from 1 species